UGUAGUCAUAUGCUUGUCUCAAAGAUUAAGCCAUGCAUGUCUAAGUAUAAACUGCUUUAUACUGUGAAACUGCGAAUGGCUCAUUAAAUCAGUUAUAGUUUAUUUGAUGGUACUUACUACUCGGAUACCCGUAGUAAAUCUAGAGCUAAUACGUGCGUAAAUCCCGACUUCUGGAAGGGACGUAUUUAUUAGAUAAAAGGCCGACCGGGCUUCUGCCCGACUCGCGGUGAAUCAUGAUAACUUCACGAAUCGCAUGGCCUUGUGCCGGCGAUGUUUCAUUCAAAUUUCUGCCCUAUCAACUUUUGAUGGUAGGAUAGAGGCCUACCAUGGUGGUAACGGGUGACGGAGGAUUAGGGUUCGAUUCCGGAGAGGGAGCCUGAGAAACGGCUACCACAUCCAAGGAAGGCAGCAGGCGCGCGAAUUACCCAAUC
rnacentral:rRNA from 1 species